rnacentral:rRNA from 1 species
GACGAACGCUGGCGGCGUGCCUAAUACAUGCAAGUCGAACGCAUUUUCUUUCACCGUAGCUUGCUACACCGAAAGAAAAUGAGUGGCGAACGGGUGAGUAACACGUGGGUAACCUGCCCAUCAGCGGGGGAUAACACUUGGAAACAGGUGCUAAUACCGCAUAAUUCCAUUUACUGCAUGGUAGAUGGAUGAAAGGCGCUUUUGCGUCACUGAUGGAUGGACCCGCGGUGCAUUAGCUAGUUGGUGGGGUAACGGCCUACCAAGGCUGCGAUGCAUAGCCGACCUGAGAGGGUGAUCGGCCACACUGGGACUGAGACACGGCCCAGACUCCUACGGGAGGCAGCAGUAGGGAAUCUUCGGCAAUGGACGCAAGUCUGACCGAGCAACGCCGCGUGAGUGAAGAAGGUUGUCGGACCGUAAAACUCUGUUGUUAGAAAAGAACAAGGAUGAGAGUGGAAAGUUCAUCCCUUGACGGUAUCUAACCAGAAAGCCACGGCUAACUACGUG